GCAGGAAGUCGAUAUCGUAGCAGGUGUCUCGAAGGAUUGUCUUCUUCGUUUGUCGUGUUUCUCAAAAUUAGCGUGAAUUACCUGUUUCACUAUUUUUUAUCAUCUUUUCUUUUCUUUUCUUUUCUUUUCUUCGAUUUAUCGAUUCGACUUUUUUUAGUAUUCUCGUUUGUCUAUUUUUUAUUUUUUUCAUUGUGUACCAGUGUGUGAUCGUGAACGUGAUCAUGUAUCAAAUUCCUUUAUAGAAAGGAUAUACGAAUAAAACGAAACAUUUGUUUAUAUUAUAUUGCGUCCAUCAAUAGGUCCAUGGACCCUCCUGGAAAGAUUCCGUUAUUGUACCGUUAAAGGACAUCUAAGAUGACCGCGAGGAAUACUCGUUCGAGCGUGAAACGAAGCCCAUAAUGUCGAGCUUUGACGUUACCAAGAUCGAUAGUGAGAGAGAACGAUUCGAGGAUCAUCACAGAAAUUCUAACAUUCUUAGCCGACCGCCGUGAUUUUCAAAAGAAAACUUUGACAAUCAAAACUAUUUCUUAAAGAGACAGAGAAAAGUAUCAAAA
rnacentral:lncRNA from 1 species